rnacentral:rRNA from 1 species
AGGUGAUGAAGGACGUGACUACCGACGAAACGAUUCGGGGAGCAGGAAGUAUGCAGUGAUCCGGAUGUCUCCGAAUGAGGCAACUCAAUAACUUCUUAUUCAAUUUAUAGAUAAGAUAGAGCGAACCUAGGGAACUGAAACAUCUUAGUACCUAGAGGAAAAGAAAGUAAAAACGAUUCUCUUAGUAGCGGCGAGCGAAACGAGAAAUGCCUAAACUAUAUUAAAUUAUUAAUAAUUUAGUAAAGGGUUGUGGGGUAGAAACACUUUUUUAAUAGUUAAUAUUAAAAAUUAAGAUUAAAAUAAGAAAUUAGGUCAAAUAAUUGGAAAAUUAUACCAAAGAAAGUGAUAGUCUUGUAACCGAAAAUUUCAACAUAUUUCUAUACCCAAGUAGCAUGGAGCACGUGAAAUUCCGUGUGAAUCUGCGAGGACCAUCUCGUAAGGCUAAAUAUUCCUGGAUGUCCGAUAGUGAAAUAGUACCGCGAGGGAAAGGUGAAAAGAACCCCGGGAGGGGAGUGAAAAGAACGUGAAAUUGCAAGCUUACAAACAGAGGAAGAACGACUUAGCGUUUAACUUCGUGCCUGUUGAAGAAUGUUCCGACGAGUUAUAAUUAGUGGCAGGUUAAGAUAGUUAUAUCGGAGCCAUAGUGAAAGCGAGCUUGAAUAGAGCGAAAGUCUCUAAUUAUAGACCCGAACCCGCUUGAUCUAACCAUGGCCAGGGUGAAACUUAGGUAACACUCAGUGGAGGCCCGAACCGACUAAUGUUGAAAAAUUAGCGGAUGAGUUGUGGUUAGGGGUGAAAUGCCAAUCGAAAGCGGAGCUAGCUGGUUCUCCCCGAAAUGUAUUUAGGUGCAGCGAUUAUUUUUAAAUUGUAGGGGUAAAGCACUGUUUCGGUGCGGGCUGGUAAUUCGGUACCAAAUCGAGGCAAACUCUGAAUACUACAUGUAUAAUUAAUCAGUAAGACUAUGGGGGAUAAGCUUCAUAGUCAAGAGGGAAACAGCCCAGAUCACCAGCUAAGGCCCCUAAAUAAUUACUAAGUGAUAAAGGAAGUGGAAAGGCUUAAACAACCAGGAGGUUUGCUUAGAAGCAGCAAUCCUUUAAAAAGUGCGUAAUAGCUUACUGGUCUAGCAAUUCUGCGCCGAAAACUUAUGGGACUAAGUAAUUUGCCGAAGCUGUGAGAUAUUUAUGAUAUCGGUAGGGGAGCGUUCCAUUGUAGGAUGAAGUAUUAGCGAAAGCGGAUAUAGACGAAAUGGAAGUGAGAAUGUCGGAUUGAGUAGCGAAAACAUUGGUGAGAAUCCAAUGCUCCGAAACCCUAAGGUUUCCUUUGCCAGGUUCGUCCACGAAGGGUUAGUCAGGGCCUAAGGCGAGGCUGAAAAGCGUAGUCGAUGGACAUUAGGUUAAUAUUCCUAUACUGAUUCUUGCUGGUAUCGAGGGACGAAGAAGGCUAAAUUAGCCGGAUGUUGGUUACCGGUUUAAGUUAUCGAGGUGUUGAAGAAUAGUGAAACUAUUUUGAGCUGAGAAAUGAAUACAAGAUUGAAAAUCGAAGUAAUUGAAGUCAUACUUCCAAGAAAAGCUCGCAAUGCCAUAAGCAAGAAUUACCUGUACCUUAAACCGACACAGGUAGGGAGGUAGAGAAUACCAAGGAGCGCGAGAGAACCCUCCUUAAGGAACUCGGCAAAAUAACUCUGUAACUUCGGAAGAAAGAGUGCCCAUUGGGUUGCAAUAUCAAGUUCCAAGCAACUGUUUAGCAAAAACACAGGUCUCCGCUAAGUUGUAAAAUGACGUAUGGAGGCUGACGCCUGCCCAGUGCCGGAAGGUUAAAGAAGUUGGUCAUUAUGAAUUUAUUUCAUAGGCAGCUAAUAACUGAAGCCCCGGUGAACGGCGGCCGUAACUAUAACGGUCCUAAGGUAGCGAAAUUCCUUGUCGGGUAAGUUCCGACCCGCACGAAUGGCGUAAUGAUUUGGAAGCUGUCUCAAGGAGGGACUCGGCGAAAUAGAACUGUCUGUGAAGAUGCGGACUACCUGCGCCAGGACAGUAAGACCCUAUGAAGCUUUACUGUAGUCUGAUAUUGAAUCUUGAUUUUAUUUGCGCAGAAUAGGUGGGAGACUUUGAGUAUAUUCUUGUGGGAAUAUAUGAGUCAACAGUGAGAUACCACUCUAAUAAACUUGAUAUUCUAACUUCAUACCGUUAGCCGGUUGAAAGACAGUUUCAGAUGGGCAGUUUGACUGGGGCGGUCGCCUGCUAAAAGGUAACGCAGGCGUACAAAGGUUUCCUCAGAUCGGUCAGAAAUCGAUCGUAGAGUGUAAAGGCAAAAGGAAGCUUAACUGUGAGACAAACAAGUCGAGCAGAGACGAAAGUCGGUCUUAGUGAUCUGACGCUGCUGAAUGGAAAGGGCGUCACUCAACGGAUAAAAGUUACUCUAGGGAUAACAGGCUGAUCUCCCCAUAGAGUUCCUAUCGACGGGGAGGUUUGGCACCUCAAAAUAGGGGCCACAAGAUAGUAAUGUUUUGUGAGAAUUUGGCUAUAUGCUGGGAAAUCCGUCUACUUAAAGUAGUGAAGUAUCCAAAAAUACAUAAAAAAUGUAAAAAUUUUUUGGUGCGGAUAAUCAGCAGGGAAGUUAAUAAAUAAUUAAAUCUUUUUUAACCCCUCAACGACUACACGCCAAACAACCUUUUGGUUGAUGAUAUAGUCUAAACUUUUAGGCGACUAAAAGGGUUAAAACCGUAAAAUAACUUACAGUUCAUUUUUAUUUUAUGUUAACACAAAUUCAAAAAGAUUUAAUUGUUGGUACUUUAUUAGGUGAUGGUAAUUUCCAAACAAAUAGUGCUGGAAAUACAUGGCGAUAUCGAGCAAUUCAUAAAUUAGCGCAUGAAUCAUAUAUUACUCAUAAAUAUCAAAUUUUGAGAGACUUUUGGUGAAAACUCCUCCUAAGUUAUCUACUGUUAUAGAUCGUCGUACCAAUAAAAUAUAUCAAAGAUUUACUUUUCAAACAAUUUGUGCAGACGAUUUUCGUUAUUAUGCUUUAUUGUUUUAUAAACAACAAUUAGACAAAUCUUGGAAAAAACAAAUUCCGUCAACUAUUAGUAAGUUGUUAACACCACAAGCACUUGCUUAUUGGUAUAUGGAUGAUGGAGCUUUAAAAUGGAGAGGAAAAUCAAAUAGUGUUAGGAUUUGUACAGAUUUAUUUUCUGGUAAUGAAAUUAAUCUUUUAAAAAAGACUCUUGAAACUAAUUUUUCUUUAAAGAUUUCUAUUGAAAAAAAAGAUAGUAUUCAAAGGUUAUCUAUUUUAGAAGAAUCUUAUCCAAUCUUAAAAACUUUAAUUGAACCUUAUUUGCUUCCAUGUAUGUUUUAUAAGUUUCCAGAUGGAAAUAAAGGUGUUUAUAAUGGUCAAGAUAUUUCUAAUGAUAUUAUUAAUCGUCUUGAUAUUCCAAAUGAUGAAAAUCCUGAAUUUUAACUAAAUAAAAAACUUCUUAGUCAUAUUUUAUUAAUAGAAUUGCGAUGUCGGCUCAUCGCAUCCUGGGGCGGUAGUACGUCCCAAGGGUUGGGCUGUUCGCCCAUUAAAGCGGUACGUGAGCUGGGUUCAGAACGUCGCGAGACAGUUCGGUCCAUAUCCGGCGUGGGCGUUAGAGUAUUGAGAGUGACUUUUCUCUAGUACGAGAGGACCGAGAAAAACAUGCCGCUAGUGUACCAGUUAUUGCGCCAGCAGUAAACGCUGGGUAGCUAUGCAGGGUUAAGAUAACCGCUGAAAGCAUCU